rnacentral:rRNA from 1 species
GGGCCCGCACAAGCGGUGGAGCAUGUGGUUUAAUUCGAUGCAACGCGAAGAACCUUACCAGGACUUGACAUACUACGAAUUCUUUUGAGAAAAAGAAGUGCCUUCGGGAAUGUAGAUACAGGUGGUGCAUGGCUGUCGUCAGCUCGUGUCGUGAGAUGUUGGGUUAAGUCCCGCAACGAGCGCAACCCUUAUUUUUAGUUACUAAUUCGUUAGGUUCUCUAGAAAGACUGCCGGUGACAAACCGGAGGAAGGUGAGGAUGACGUCAAGUCAGCAUGCCCCUUAUGUCCUGGGCUACACACGUGCUACAAUGGUUAAGACAAAGAGUCGCGAGCUUGUGAAAGUCAGCUAAUCUCAUAAACUUAGCCUAAGUUCAGAUUGUAGGCUGCAACUCGCCUACAUGAAGUUGGAAUCGCUAGUAAUCGC